GAUGAACGUUGGCGGCGUGCCUAAUACAUGCAAGUCGAACGAAGACUGUAGUAAUACUGUCUUAGUGGCGAACGGGUGAGUAACGCGUGGGUGACCUGCCCCGAAGUGUGGGAUAACAGUCCGAAAGGAUUGCUAAUACUGCAUAAUAUCCAAGAGAUUAGAUGCUUUUGGAUUAAAGGAGUAAUUCGCUUCGGGAGGGGCCCGCGUCCCAUCAGCUAGUUGGUAAGGUAAUGGCUUACCAAGGCGAUGACGGGUAGGGGACCUGAGAGGGUGGCCCCCCACAAUGGAACUGAAACACGGUCCAUACACCUACGGGUGGCAGCAGUAGGGAAUAUUAGUAAUGGGCGAAAGCCUGACCCAGCGACGCCGCGUGGAGGAAGAAGUCCUUCGGGCGGUAAACUCCUGGACUGGGGGACGGAGUAAGGACGGGUACCCCACGUAGAAAGGGACGGCUAACUAACGUG
rnacentral:rRNA from 1 species